UUAUUAGGAGACAGAAUGCUAGCACACAGAUGCAAGUAAAAUGAGAAAGAUUAUCAACACCAAAUGUUUACCCAAGCACUAAGAAGACUGAGAGCUAUUGUAACCUUGAGGAAAGAACCGGAAGUGCUGGAAGGAAAUCCUUCUCCUCCAAGGGCUGUGUGUUCAUAUAUACACUUAGCAAGCAGGUCUUCAUCAUAUAUCAAAGAGGAAAUAUACCACCGAUAGUGAACCUAUCUUCAUAUAAUAUAUUCAAGAUACUUUGAACCAGAUUUACUAAGUCCAUGUGAUGGCCAACCGCACUGUAUUUUCAACAUAUUUAUGAGCUUGGAUUGUACGCAGGCUGAAGUGCCCAUAAUAAGUUUCAUGUGCACUGUUUCUGAUGACCUUGCGGUAAUUGGAAACACAGUCCUGUAGAAUACAUCUUUCAUCUGUUACCAUUCUCUGUAAAUCCUAGAGAUGGUUGUGCAUGAAAAUCCCAGAAAUUGAAAUACUCAGACCAGCCUGUUGGCACCAACAAACAUGCCACGUUCAAAGUCACUUAAAUCCGCUUUCUUCCCCAUUCUGAUGCUCGGUUUGAACGUCAGCAAGUUGUCUUCACCAAGUCUAGAGGCCUAAAUGCAUUGAGUUGAUGCCAUGUGAUUGGCUGAUUAGCAAUUUGUGUUACCAAGCAAUUGAACAGGUGUACCUAAAAAAGUGGCCGGCCCGCUUGCAUCUAUUAUUUUAAACAGCAUUUUCAGAAACAUCACCAGCUGUUUAACAGAUGUUUUGCCAAAGCAAAGAAUUGCAUGGGGAGGAGUCCCUGGUUCUCCAACAGAGAUUUUGCUGAACUGACUCUGGAGAGCCCCCUAGCACUGCAACUUCUGGCCAUGGUAAUAUAUAUGAGGUGAUGGAGUAGAUGACUUCUACGUUAUGGAGAAAGAAUCCAGUGACUGCUAGCUUUACCAUUACAACAACAUCUACAAGACUGGAUGUGUCACCUGAACAGGGGAGAUAGAUAUUGAGGUUGAGAUUUUUUGUUCUGAAAUCACAGCAGACCAGGUAUUAAAGAUCAUAAGUGUUCAUAUGCAA